rnacentral:rRNA from 1 species
GACGAACGCUGGCGGCGUGCUUAACACAUGCAAGUCGAACGGAAAGGCCCUGCUUUUGUGGGGUGCUCGAGUGGCGAACGGGUGAGUAACACGUGAGUAACCUGCCCUUGACUUUGGGAUAACUUCAGGAAACUGGGGCUAAUACCGGAUAGGAGCUCCUGCUGCAUGGUGGGGGUUGGAAAGUUUCGGCGGUUGGGGAUGGACUCGCGGCUUAUCAGCUUGUUGGUGGGGUAGUGGCUGACCAAGGCUUUGACGGGUAGCCGGCCUGAGAGGGUGACCGGCCACAUUGGGACUGAGAUACGGACCAGACUCCUACGGGAGGCAGCAGUGGGGAAUAUUGCACAAUGGGCGGAAGCCUGAUGCAGCAACGCCGCGUGCGGGAUGACGGCCUUCGGGUUGUAAACCGCUUUCGCCUGUGACGAAGCGUGAGUGACGGUAAUGGGUAAAGAAGCACCGGCUAACUACGUG